rnacentral:snRNA from 1 species
GUACUCGCUUUUGCGGUACAUAUACUAAAAUUCGAACGAUACAGAGAAGAUUAGCAUGGCCCUUGCGCAUGGAUGACAUGCAAAAUCGUGAAGUGUUUCACAUUUUU